GACGAACGCUGGCGGCGUGCCUAAUACAUGCAAGUUGAGCGCUGAAGGUUGGUACUUGUACCAACUGGAUGAGCAGCGAACGGGUGAGUAACGCGUGGGGAAUCUGCCUUUGAGCGGGGGACAACAUUUGGAAACGAAUGCUAAUACCGCAUAAAAACUUUAAACACAAGUUUUAAGUUUGAAAGAUGCAAUUGCAUCACUCAAAGAUGAUCCCGCGUUGUAUUAGCUAGUUGGUGAGGUAAAGGCUCACCAAGGCGAUGAUACAUAGCCGACCUGAGAGGGUGAUCGGCCACAUUGGGACUGAGACACGGCCCAAACUCCUACGGGAGGCAGCUGUAGGGAAUCUUCGGCAAUGGACGAAAGUCUGACCGAGCAACGCCGCGUGAGUGAAGAAGGUUUUCGGAUCGUAAAACUCUGUUGGUAGAGAAGAACGUUGGUGAGAGUGGAAAGCUCAUCAAGUGACGGUAACUACCCAGAAAGGGACGGCUAACUACGUG
rnacentral:rRNA from 1 species